UACGAAGGUGGCAAGCGUUGUUCGGAAUCACUGGGCGUAAAGCGUGCGUAGGCGGCAUUACAAGUCGGAAGUGAAAUCCCUGGGCUCAACCCAGGAACUGCUUUCGAAACUGUUUUGCUUGAAUCCGGGAGAGGUUGGCGGAAUUCCAAGUGUAGAGGUGAAAUUCGCAGAUAUUUGGAGGAACACCAGUGGCGUAAGCGGCCAACUGGACCGGUAUUGACGCUGAGGCACGAAAGCGUGGGGAUCAAACAGG
rnacentral:rRNA from 1 species